rnacentral:rRNA from 1 species
UACGUAGGGUGCAAGCGUUGUCCGGAAUUAUUGGGCGUAAAGAGCUCGUAGGCGGUCUGUCGCGUCUGCUGUGAAAAUCCAGGGCUCAACCCUGGACCUGCAGUGGGUACGGGCAGACUAGAGGUAUGCAGGGGAGAACGGAAUUCCUGGUGUAGCGGUGAAAUGCGCAGAUAUCAGGAAGAACACCCGUGGCGAAGGCGGCUCUCUGGUACGUGACUGACGCUGAGACGCGAAAGCGUGGGGAGCGAACAGG